CACGUAGGGGGCAAGCGUUGUCCGGAUUUAUUGGGCGUAAAGAGCUCGUAGGCGGUUCGGCAAGUCGGGUGUGAAACCCCCAGGCUCAACCUGGGGACGCCACCCGAUACUGCUGUGACUUGAGUCCGGUAGGGGAGCGUGGAAUUCCUGGUGUAGCGGUGAAAUGCGCAGAUAUCAGGAGGAACACCGAUGGCGAAGGCAGGUCUCUGGGCAUUAACUGACGCUGAGGAGCGAAAGCAUGGGGAGCGAACAGG
rnacentral:rRNA from 1 species